GAUGAAGAACGCAGUGAAAUGCGAUAAGUAAUGUGAAUUGCAGAAUUCAGUGAAUCAUCGAAUCUUUGAACGCACAUUGCGCCCGCCAGUAUUCUGGCGGGCAUGCCUGUUCGAGCGUCAUUUCACCACUCAAGCCUCGCUUGGUAUUGGGCAACGCGGUCCGCCGCGUGCCUCAAAUCGUCCGGCUGGGUCUUCUGUCCCCUAAGCGUUGUGGAAACUAUUCGCUAAAGGGUGUUCGGGAGGCUACGCCGUAAAACAACCCCAUUUCUAAGGUUGACCUCGGAUCAGGUAGGGAUACCCGCUGAACUUAAGCAUAUCAAUAAGCGGAGGA
rnacentral:misc_RNA from 1 species